rnacentral:rRNA from 1 species
UAGGGGUGAAAGGCCAAUCAAACCCGGAGAUAUCUCGUUCUCCCCGAAAUAGCUUUAGGGCUAGCGUCGCGCGUUCACCGCCGGAGGUAGAGCACCGGAUGGACGAGGGGGCUUCGCCGCCUACCGAAUCCAACCGAACUCCGAAUGCCGGCGGCCCAGAGCGCGGCAGUCAGAGCAUGUGGGCUAAGCUGUGUGCUCGAGAGGGAAACAGCCCGGACCGCCCGCUAAGGUCCCCAAGUUCCAGCCGAGUGGCAAAGGAUGUGCGUCCGCCCAGACAACCAGGAUGUUGGCUUAGAAGCAGCCAUACAUUCAAAGAGUGCGUAACAGCUCACUGGUCGAGUGGACAUGCGCCGACAAUACACGGGGCUAAGCUGGACACCGAAGCGGCGGGAUUUUAAUUCAUUAGAAUCGGUAGGGGAGCUUCCCAUGGGCGGAGAAGCCGGAGGGCGACCGACGGUGGAGCGCAUGGGAGUGAGAAUGCUGGCAUGAGUAGCGAGAGACGAGAGAGUAACUCGUCCGCCGUGAACCCGAGGUUUCCUGGGCAAGGCUAAUCCUCCCAGGGUCAGUCGGGGGCUAAGGCGAGGCCGGUAGGCGUAGCCGACGCGCAGCAGGCAGACAUUCCUGCACCGCGCACGCGGCGCUACGACCGACGGGGCGACGGAUGGGGGUGGCUCGGCGGGGUUCUGGACGUCCCCGUGAUGGAGCGCGGCCCGCGGACCAGGGAAAUCCGGUCCGCAUCAAGGGCGAGGCUCCGGACGAAGCGACUGAGCGAAGCGAGUGAGCCCGAGGUCCCUAGAAAAACCCCUAGGCAGGCGCGUGCGCGCCCGUACCGCAAACCGACACAGGUGGGUGGGUAGAACAUACCGAGGCGAUCGGGUCAACCAUGGUCAAGGAACUCGGCACAAUGGCCCCGUAACUUCGGGAGAAGGGGUGCCCGCGCGUACGUGAACCGGCUCGCCCGGGGAGCGGAGGCGGGCCGCAGUGGAGAGGCCCAAGCGACUGUUUACCAAAAACACAGGACUCUGCAGAAGCCGCAAGGCGACGUAUAGGGUCUGACGCCUGCCCGGUGCCGGAAGGUCACGCGGAGGAGUUAGCCGAUUCGGCGAAGCCCCGAAGCCAAGCCCCGGUAAACGGCGGCCGUAACUAUAACGGUCCUAAGGUAGCGAAAUUCCUUGUCGGGUAAGUUCCGACCUGCACGAAAGGCGCAACGACUUGGGCGCUGUCUCGACCAUGGACCCGGUGAAAUUGCACUGGUCGUGAAGAUGCGACUUACCCGCGGAAGGACGGAAAGACCCCGUGAACCUUCACUGCAGCUUGGCAUUGGCCGCUGGUCCCGCGUGUAGAGGAUAGGCAGGAGGCAUCGAUCCGGAGGCGCCAGCCCCCGGGGAGCCGCCCUUGGAAUACUGCCCUCGCGCGACCGGCGUCCUAACCCGAGGCCGUCAACCGGCUCGGGGACCGUGCCAGGCGGGCAGUUUGACUGGGGCGGUCGCCUCCUAAAGGGUAACGGAGGCGCGCGAAGGUCCGCUCGGGACGGUCGGCAACCGUCCUUUUGAAUGCAAGAGUACAAGCGGGCUUGACUGCGAGGCCCACAAGCCGAGCAGGUGCGAAAGCAGGCUCUAGUGAUCCGGCGGCCCCGAGUGGGUGGGCCGUCGCUCAACGGAUAAAAGGUACUCCGGGGAUAACAGGCUGAUCUUGCCCA